GACGAACGCUGGCGGCGUGCUUAACACAUGCAAGUCGAACGGUAAGGCCCUUCGGGGUACACGAGUGGCGAACGGGUGAGUAACACGUGGGUGAUCUGCCCUGCACUUCGGGAUAAGCCUGGGAAACUGGGUCUAAUACCGGAUAGGACCCUGGGAUGCAUGUCCUGGGGUGGAAAGCUUUUGCGGUGUGGGAUGGGCCCGCGGCCUAUCAGCUUGUUGGUGGGGUGAUGGCCUACCAAGGCGACGACGGGUAGCCGGCCUGAGAGGGUGACCGGCCACACUGGGACUGAGAUACGGCCCAGACUCCUACGGGAGGCAGCAUUGGGGAAUAUUGCACAAUGGGCGCAAGCCUGAUGCAGCGACGCCGCGUGAGGGAUGACGGCCUUCGGGUUGUAAACCUCUUUCAGCACCGACGAAGCGCAAGUGACGGUAGGUGCAGAAGAAGGACCGGCCAACUACGUGCCAGCAGCCGCUGUAACAC
rnacentral:rRNA from 1 species